UGAAGACUCUGUGACAUCAAAGAGGAGUUCUAUAGGAUUGCAGAUGGUCUGCAAUGCUGACUGUGUGAUCAGCAAUGUUGUGGCAAAAUGGCCUGGCUCAGUCCAUGACUCCAGAAUCUUUCGGGCCUCUGAAAUCUAUCAGUGCCUAUCACAAGGUGAAUUCUCUGGUGUGUUGCUGGGAGACAGGGGUAUGGCUGCCAGCCUUUUCUCCUGACACCUUUCACAGACCCCAGGAAGCACAGCAGGCCUACAACCAUGCCCAUGCCAGGACCAGGGCCAGAGUUGAAAUGACCUUUGGCCUCCUGAAGGCACGCUUUCACUGCCUUCACAAAUUAAGGGUCAGCCCUGUUAGGGCAUGUGAUAUUACUGUGGCUUGUGC